AGAGUUUGAUCAUGGCUCAGAACGAACGCUGGCGGCAGGCUUAACACAUGCAAGUCGAACGAUAUAGUGGCAGACGGGUGAGUAACGCGUGGAAACGUGCCUUUCACUACGGAAUAGCUUUUGGAAACGAAAGGUAAUACCGUAUACGCCCUCCGGGGGAAAGAUUUAUCGGUGAAAGAUCGGUCCGCGUUAGAUUAGCUAGUUGGUGAGGUAACGGCUCACCAAGGCUACGAUCUAUAGCUGGUCUGAGAGGAUGAUCAGCCACACUGGGACUGAGACACGGCCCAGACUCCUACGGGAGGCAGCAGUGGGGAAUAUUGCACAAUGGGCGCAAGCCUGAUGCAGCCAUGCCGCGUGAAUGAUGAAGGCCUUAGGGUUGUAAAAUUCUUUCGCCAAGGAUGAUAAUGACAGUACUUGGUAAAGAAGCCCCGGCUAACUUCGUGCCAGCAGCCGCGGUAAUACGAAGGGGGCUAGCGUUGUUCGGAAUUACUGGGCGUAAAGCGCACGUAGGCGGACUUUUAAGUCAGAUGUGAAAUCCCGAGGCUCAACCUCGGAACUGCAUUUGAAACUGGGAGUCUAGAGAUCAGGAGAGGUUAGCGGAAUACCGAGUGUAGAGGUGAAAUUCGUAGAUAUUCGGUGGAACACCAGUGGCGAAGGCGGCUAACUGGACUGAUACUGACGCUGAGGUGCGAAAGUGUGGGGAGCAAACAGGAUUAGAUACCCUGGUAGUCCACACCGUAAACGAUGAGUGCUAGUUGUCUGCAGGCAUGCCUGUAGGUGACGCAGCUAACGCAUUAAGCACUCCGCCUGGGGAGUACGGCCGCAAGGUUAAAACUCAAAGAAAUUGACGGGGGCCCGCACAAGCGGUGGAGCAUGUGGUUUAAUUCGAAGCAACGCGCAGAACCUUACCUACGCUUGACAUGCCUGGACGACUCCGAGAGAUCGGUUUCUCCCUUCGGGGCCAGUGCACAGGUGCUGCAUGGCUGUCGUCAGCUCGUGUCGUGAGAUGUUGGGUUAAGUCCCGCAACGAGCGCAACCCUCAUCCUUAGUUGCCAUCACGUUUGGGUGGGCACUCUAGGGAAACUGCCGGUGCUAAGCCGGAGGAAGGCGGGGAUGACGUCAAGUCCUCAUGGCCCUUACGCGUAGGGCUACACACGUGCUACAAUGGCAGUGACAAUGGGAUAAUCCCCAAAAGCUGUCUCAGUUCGGAUUGUCGGCUGCAACUCGCCGGCAUGAAGUUGGAAUCGCUAGUAAUCGUGGAUCAGCAUGCCACGGUGAAUACGUUCCCGGGCCUUGUACACACCGCCCGUCACACCAUGGGAGUUGGAUCUACCCGAAGAUUGUGAGCUAACUUCGGAGGCAGCAAGCCACGGUAGGUUCAGCGACUGGGGUGAAGUCGUAACAAGGUAACC
rnacentral:rRNA from 1 species